ACUACAGAAAAUGACUGAGCGGCGAACGGGUGAGUAACGCGUGAGCAACCUACCUUAGUUACUGGGAUAGCCCGAGGAAACUCGGAUUAAUACCGGAUAUUCUUAUUUAAUCACAUGAUUUUUUAAGGAAAGGUCAGCCGAACUAAGAUGGGCUCGCGUUCUAUCAGCUAGUUGGUAGGGUAAUGGCCUACCAAGGCUACGACGGAUAGCUGGUCUGAGAGGACGAUCAGCCACACUGGGACUGAGACACGGCCCAGACUCCUACGGGAGGCUGCAGCAGGGAAUAUUGCGCAAUGAGCGAAAGCUUGACGCAGCGACACCGCGUGUGGGAUGACGGAUCUAGGUUUGUAAACCACUUUCAGGAGGGAAGAAAAUGACGGUACCUCCA
rnacentral:rRNA from 1 species